UUUCUAUUAAUGAGUUUCGUUAUCUAAAAUGUUCUAAAAUGUCUUUUAUGUUAGAAUAAAUAGAAACAGUGCACCAUUUCCUCUCCUAAUUUGCUGCUUACCAAUAACCCCAUAUCUUUUUGAGAACUUCAGUCGGUUCAAAAUCCUAAAGCUUGGAAGGACCUUAAAUGUCCAUAGACCAUAGGGCUUAUAUCUUUGGGUCAUAAAGUAAAAGUAGGGUUUACACAAAAGUUCUACAGUGUUGUCGACAGUUUGCACUUUGCAUUGAAGUCAGGGGACAUAUUAAAUGACUCUAGCAUCGGUACUCCAUGAGAUAGUUUUAGCAUGGGGUAGAGUGGGUCUGUCUGUACACAUCUACAAUGGGCUCUUUGUGGGUUCUUCACCUUAUCUCUUAGGUGAUUGAGAGAUGAGUCAUUGACAUAUUUUAUUAUUUUCUUAAUUUUGCAUGCAAUUAUUUUGGCUUAUUUAAAACAAAGUCAGUGAAGAAGAUCGCAUUCACUUCCUUCACAACCAGAGCACUGCAAACUUUGAAUGUCUACAUAAAGGACAAGUUCUUCUCGAACAAUAGAUAUUGCUCAUGCAUGGCUCAU
rnacentral:sRNA from 1 species